rnacentral:rRNA from 1 species
GUGUCAGCCGCCGCGGUAAUACGAGGGGAGCAAGCGUUGUUCGGAAUCAUUGGGCGUAAAGGGCGCGUAGGCGGUCUGGCAAGUCUAAGGUGAAAUCCCUCGGCUCAACCGAGGAACUGCCUUGGAAACUGCCGGACUUGAGUUCCGGAGAGGAAAGCAGAAUUCCCAGUGUAGCGGUGAAAUGCGUAGAUAUUGGGAGGAAUACCGGUGGCGAAGGCGGCUUUCUGGACGGAAACUGACGCUGAGGCGCGAAAGCUAGGGGAGCAAACGGGAUUAGAUACCCGCGUAGUCC